UACGAAGGGGGCUAGCGUUGCUCGGAAUCACUGGGCGUAAAGGGUGCGUAGGCGGGUCUUUAAGUCAGGGGUGAAAUCCUGGAGCUCAACUCCAGAACUGCCUUUGAUACUGAGGAUCUUGAGUUCGGGAGAGGUGAGUGGAACUGCGAGUGUAGAGGUGAAAUUCGUAGAUAUUCGCAAGAACACCAGUGGCGAAGGCGGCUCACUGGCCCGAUACUGACGCUGAGACACGAAAGCGUGGGGAGCAAACAGG
rnacentral:rRNA from 1 species